GACGAACGCUGGCGGCGUGCUUAACACAUGCAAGUCGAACGGAAAGGCCCUGCUUUUGUGGGGUGCUCGAGUGGCGAACGGGUGAGUAACACGUGAGUAACCUGCCCUUGACUUUGGGAUAACUUCAGGAAACUGGGGCUAAUACCGGAUAGGAGCUCCUGCUGCAUGGUGGGGGUUGGAAAGUUUCGGCGGUUGGGGAUGGACUCGCGGCUUAUCAGCUUGUUGGUGGGGUAGUGGCUUACCAAGGCUUUGACGGGUAGCCGGCCUGAGAGGGUGACCGGCCACAUUGGGACUGAGAUACGGCCCAGACUCCUACGGGAGGCAGCAGUGGGGAGUAUUGCACAAGGGGCGGAAGCCUGAUGCAGCAACGCCGGGUGCGGGAUGACGGCCUUCGGGUUGUAGACCGCUUUCGCCUGUGACGAAGCGUGAGUGACGGUAAUGGGUAAAGAAGCACCGGCUAACUACGUG
rnacentral:rRNA from 1 species